UCCUGGCUCAGGACGAACGCUGGCGGCGUGCCUAAUACAUGCAAGUCGUACGCUUCUUUUUCCACCGGAGCUUGCUCCACCGGAAAAAGAAGAGUGGCGAACGGGUGAGUAACACGUGGGUAACCUGCCCAUCAGAAGGGGAUAACACUUGGAAACAGGUGCUAAUACCGUAUAACAAUCGAAACCGCAUGGUUUUGAUUUGAAAGGCGCUUUCGGGUGUCGCUGAUGGAUGGACCCGCGGUGCAUUAGCUAGUUGGUGAGGUAACGGCUCACCAAGGCCACGAUGCAUAGCCGACCUGAGAGGGUGAUCGGCCACAUUGGGACUGAGACACGGCCCAAACUCCUACGGGAGGCAGCAGUAGGGAAUCUUCGGCAAUGGACGAAAGUCUGACCGAGCAACGCCGCGUGAGUGAAGAAGGUUUUCGGAUCGUAAAACUCUGUUGUUAGAGAAGAACAAGGAUGAGAGUAACUGUUCAUCCCUUGACGGUAUCUAACCAGAAAGCCACGGCUAACUACGUGCCAGCAGCCGCGGUAAUACGUAGGUGGCAAGCGUUGUCCGGAUUUAUUGGGCGUAAAGCGAGCGCAGGCGGUUUCUUAAGUCUGAUGUGAAAGCCCCCGGCUCAACCGGGGAGGGUCAUUGGAAACUGGGAGACUUGAGUGCAGAAGAGGAGAGUGGAAUUCCAUGUGUAGCGGUGAAAUGCGUAGAUAUAUGGAGGAACACCAGUGGCGAAGGCGGCUCUCUGGUCUGUAACUGACGCUGAGGCUCGAAAGCGUGGGGAGCAAACAGGAUUAGAUACCCUGGUAGUCCACGCCGUAAACGAUGAGUGCUAAGUGUUGGAGGGUUUCCGCCCUUCAGUGCUGCAGCUAACGCAUUAAGCACUCCGCCUGGGGAGUACGACCGCAAGGUUGAAACUCAAAGGAAUUGACGGGGGCCCGCACAAGCGGUGGAGCAUGUGGUUUAAUUCGAAGCAACGCGAAGAACCUUACCAGGUCUUGACAUCCUUUGACCACUCUAGAGAUAGAGCUUCCCCUUCGGGGGCAAAGUGACAGGUGGUGCAUGGUUGUCGUCAGCUCGUGUCGUGAGAUGUUGGGUUAAGUCCCGCAACGAGCGCAACCCUUAUUGUUAGUUGCCAUCAUUUAGUUGGGCACUCUAGCAAGACUGCCGGUGACAAACCGGAGGAAGGUGGGGAUGACGUCAAAUCAUCAUGCCCCUUAUGACCUGGGCUACACACGUGCUACAAUGGGAAGUACAACGAGUCGCGAAGUCGCGAGGCUAAGCUAAUCUCUUAAAGCUUCUCUCAGUUCGGAUUGUAGGCUGCAACUCGCCUACAUGAAGCCGGAAUCGCUAGUAAUCGCGGAUCAGCACGCCGCGGUGAAUACGUUCCCGGGCCUUGUACACACCGCCCGUCACACCACGAGAGUUUGUAACACCCGAAGUCGGUGAGGUAACCUUUUGGAGCCAGCCGCCUAAGGUGGGAUAGAUGAUUGGGGUGAAGUCGUAACAAGGUAGCCGUAUCGGAAGGUGCGGCUG
rnacentral:rRNA from 2 species